rnacentral:ncRNA from 2 species
GGGAAUCCGGUGGAAGUCCGGAACUGUCCCGCAACGGUGAACGGGCAGUCUCUGCCUGCCCCGUGAAGUCCGAAGACC